rnacentral:lncRNA from 1 species
GAUAACCUGUUCAUGUGGCGUAUGUGUUUAUUAGGAGUAUGAGGAGUAUGAAUAUAUACAUAUCAUAUUGUGAGUACAUACAUGUUAAGCAAGAGUAUGCAUACAUACUUGUAAAUUUGAAAAGUGCAUCCAACAUUCGAUCAAAGUUUAUAUUUUUUCCAAACGGAAAUAAGAAACUAUAUAUUUUUUUGUAAUCAUAUAUAGUUUCUCUUCUAAAUCACGUAUAAACGAGUGAGUUUCAUUUAUAAGAAACUACGUUCCAAAAUGAUCCGGUAUAUUGUUCUGAUAAAUGAAGAGGUAUGGUAUAUUCUUCUGGUAACUUGCCUUCGGGAAACGCUUUGUCGUGACAGCUCUACACGCCAUGACAUUGGUGAGAACGCUAGAAGAUGAACUCACGUACCAGCAGCAUGCAAGGUCAAAAACGAAAUCUGCAUCUAUCACCUCGCGAGUCUGUCUGAUCUGCAAUCUGCAAAGAUAUUAAAUUGAAAUUAACAAAUCGACAACAAGAAGAAGGAUUAGUGGAUGGAGAUCAGGUUUGUACUUAUAUUUUGUUGGUCGGGAGGACCGCCGGCCAACGCCCGGCGGGCAGCACGACGACGUGAGCGCUUUUGGAUAGACAACAUGCGUGUGCAGAUCUGCAUGGUAGGAGGCGGCCGGCCAUGGUCACCAGGCACAAGGAGAUCGAGAAACGUAUCAAGAUAAGAGGAUCUAGCAACAAGAUCAAUGGAAUCAAUAGUAUCUAGAUCGAUCUACUAUAUACGAGAAGAUUAGAUUUUAGGAUAAACAUAUUGAUCACGAACAGGAAAGAUUGGGACGGUCUCAACAAACCAGAUGAAUCAAAAUAUCGUGCCGCCGCCACCGUCGCCGAAUAUCCUAUUGCCUCUAGACGCCAUAAAUGACGGUAAAAUCUCUUAUAUAGGAUGGAUAUUAACGGGUUAGUUUGUUUUGACCCGCUUCCGAGAUGAGGACUGACUUCACAACUCCGUCAUCGGCCCGUUACAUACGACGACGCGCAUGGGACUGGCUGAACUUCGCGUGCGUGUACUAACCAUCGGAGUAGCUACACGUCGAUGUAAAAAGGAA